rnacentral:rRNA from 1 species
UACGUAGGGUGCAAGCGUUAAUCGGAAUUACUGGGCGUAAAGCGUGCGCAGGCGGUUUUGUAAGUCUGUCGUGAAAUCCCCGGGCUCAACCUGGGAAUUGCGAUGGAGACUGCAAGGCUAGAAUCUGGCAGAGGGGGGGUAGAAUUCCACGUGUAGCAGUGAAAUGCGUAGAGAUGUGGAGGAACACCGAUGGCGAAGGCAGCCCCCCUGGGUCAAGAUUGACGCUCAUGCACGAAAGCGUGGGGAGCAAAC